CCUACGGGUGGCAGCAGUGAGGAAUAUUGGUCACUGGACGAGAGUCUGAACCAGCCAAGUAGCGUGAAGGAUGACUGCCCUAUGGGUUGUAAACUUCUUUUAUAUGGGAAUAAAACGUUCCACGUGUGGGAUUUUGUAUGUACCAUAUGAAUAAGGAUCGGCUAACUCCGUGCCAGCAGCCGCGGUAAUACGGAGGAUCCGAGCGUUAUCCGGAUUUAUUGGGUUUAAAGGGAGCGUAGGUGGAUUGUUAAGUCAGUUGUGAAAGUUUGCGGCUCAACCGUAAAAUUGCAGUUGAAACUGGCAGUCUUGAGUACAGUAGAGGUGGGCGGAAUUCGUGGUGUAGCGGUGAAAUGCUUAGAUAUCACGAAGAACUCCGAUUGCGAAGGCAGUUCACUGGACUGCAACUGACACUGAGGCUCGAAAGUGUGGGUAUCAAACAGGAUUAGAUACCCGAAUAGUC
rnacentral:rRNA from 1 species